UAGAUAAGCUGCCUGCUUUGCUGUGUGCGCGUCUUUUGUUGGCUGUGCUUCACUCGUGCUGCUGCGUGGUCGAGCGCUCGGUAUGAGCGGAAUAAAAGUACGUUCUGCUGCUACUCACCGUCUCGUGGAUUAGACACAACAUAUUGGCGACGAGCUGGACGUACGAUCCACCAUCUCCGGAAACAAUUCUCAGGGCAGUACAGUAACAACUUCGAGGGAUAUGGCAACACGCAUUGCUCAAUGCUAACAUACUGAUCCAGGAUAUUCCGUGACGAGCAACAAUUGGGGAAGCACCUGGAACAGAACAACCUCAAGAAACAGGACACAGUCACCCAUGCACAAGCAAGUGUGAAAAACGAGGCUUCAUCUUCAGAAAACAGGUACCCCUCUCUGGCAUGUGUUCUGUCCUGACUGGGAACCCUCGAAGACGGCCUCUCUGAAGACCCCCGAAGACAGGCCCUCUGGGGGGACAAACAGUGAGUCGAUUAACUUUAAUUGAU